GAAACGGAAGCUUUAUUCUACUGUAGGAUCCUGUCUGCGGAAUGCAUACAAACUUAGGCAUUUCUUCCUCUGGUGCCCACGUUCCAUAGCUGUUUGAGGAUGGCGGGUGCCUCUGCGGGGCUAUGAAGGUAUGGAUGCCUGUGAUAACGUCACUCCUUGAUGCUUCUGUUGGGUGAUGCUGCCAAACCCUGGAUUCUUCUAGCUCCACUGGAUGUGUAGGUAUAUUAGGGAGGGUCUUCUGAGUUAAAGCAAA
rnacentral:lncRNA from 1 species